rnacentral:rRNA from 1 species
CCUACGGGUGGCAGCAGUGGGGAAUAUUGGACAAUGGGCGAAAGCCUGAUCCAGCCAUGCCGCGUGUGUGAAGAAGGCCUUCGGGUUGUAAAGCACUUUCAGUGGGGAAGAAGGCCUUGGGGCUAAUACCCUCGAGGAAGGACAUCACCCACAGAAGAAGCACCGGCUAACUCCGUGCCAGCAGCCGCGGUAAUACGGAGGGUGCGAGCGUUAAUCGGAAUUACUGGGCGUAAAGCGCGCGUAGGCGGUCUGAUAAGCCGGUUGUGAAAGCCCCGGGCUCAACCUGGGAACGGCAUCCGGAACUGUCAGGCUAGAGUGCAGGAGAGGAAGGUAGAAUUCCCGGUGUAGCGGUGAAAUGCGUAGAGAUCGGGAGGAAUACCAGUGGCGAAGGCGGCCUUCUGGACUGACACUGACGCUGAGGUGCGAAAGCGUGGGUAGCAAACAGGAUUAGAUACCCGGGUAGUC